GAUGAACGCUGGCGGCGUGCUUAACACAUGCAAGUCGAACGAUGAUGCCCAGCUUGCUGGGUGGAUUAGUGGCGAACGGGUGAGUAACACGUGAGUAACCUGCCCUUGACUCUGGGAUAAGCCUGGGAAACUGGGUCUAAUACCGGAUACGACCAUCUGGCGCAUGUCAUGGUGGUGGAAAGCUUUUGUGGUUUUGGAUGGACUCGCGGCCUAUCAGCUUGUUGGUGGGGUAAUGGCCUACCAAGGCGACGACGGGUAGCCGGCCUGAGAGGGGGACCGGCCACCAUGGGACUGAGACACGGCGCAGACGCCUACGGGAGGCAGCAGUGGGGAAUAUUGCACAAUGGGCGCAAGCCUGAUGCAGCGACGCCGCGUGAGGGAUGACGGCCUUCGGGUUGUAAACAUCUUUCAGUAGGGAAGAAGCGAAAGUGACGGUACCUGCAGAAGAAGCGCCGGCUAACUACGUG
rnacentral:rRNA from 1 species